CGGAGGUCAUGUCGCCCCUCAAGAAUGGCAUGAUCGAGGACUGGGAGUGCUUCAGAGCCAUCCUGGAUCACACCUACAGCAAACACGUCAAGUCUGAGCCAAAUCUGCACCCAGUGCUCAUGUCCGAGGCUCCGUGGAACACACGGGCCAAGCGGGAGAAGCUGACAGAGCUGAUGUUCGAGCAGUACAACAUUCCUGCCUUCUUCUUAUGCAAGACGGCUGUGCUCACCGCGUAUCCUCUGGACUGAGCUGCUCUGACUGGGUGGAGGGCUGGGGUGGGGCCUGUGCUGAGCUCAGCUGAGAUGAGCU
rnacentral:sRNA from 1 species